GCGCCCUUGGUGCUCAGGCUCGCGGCCUCUGUCUCCCCACUCACCUCGUGACACGCCCUGCGACACCCGUCGGCGACACACCUCAGCGCCCUGCCAGGACACCGCGGCAGCGAGCCGCGCCGCAGGGGUAUGGAAAACCUCCAAGCUGAAGCAUGGGCUUACUACGGAGUUCUGUGCGGAGAGAAAGGGCAGAAAUGGAGCCAACUGUGAAGUGAGAGAAAGGAUCAAAGUUAUGUUGGACAAGUUAGAGGACCUCACACUGGAAUUAGUUUUGAAGGAAGAACGAGACACUAGAGUGUUAAGGCUGGAAGUCACAGAGCACAAGGGGCUCAGAGAGUCAGGUGGGGUGCCCUGAUGAACCAGCUUCUUUUUUUUUUUUUUUUUUUGGUUCUUUUUUUCGGAGCUGGGGAUCGAACCCAGGGCCUUGCGCUUCCUAGGUAAGCGCUCUACCACUGAGCUAAAUCCCCAGCCCCAUGAACCAGCUUCUUAAUUUCUGAAUGGCCAAGUGUGACUUCUCCAAGAAGUCUCCAGGCUUUCUCAGGAUGCACUGGAAUUGUACAAUCUAAACUCAUCUCAGACUAUAACUUCCACACCCCACACAAGCCUCCCUCUUACCAGAUGAUCACAUCCAGAUCCCCAAAGCAUGAACAAUCUGGGGAGGGGUUACCUCCCACUUCUCCUGUGGAGUUUCUCUUUGGUUCCAAGAGCACGGAUUCUCCAGACUUAGGAUCUGAGAGUGAAUACCCAUCUUCAUUUAGCCACAAACGUUCUGGACAUAAGGCAACUGUUCAGUGCACCAGAACCCAGUUUCUCCAUCUGAAUAAAGGCGCUGUGACACACACACACACACACACACACACACACACACUCACACACCACGCACAAUGAUUUAAUAACGAUCACUCAAUAGUCAUGCUUCAAAGGUGCAGCAGUCAGGCAUGGAGGCAUGUGUCUUUAAUCCUGGCAUACAGGAAGCAGAAGCAGUUGGGUCUCUGUAAGUCUGAGGCUAGCUUAGACUCCACAGUGAGUUCAAGGCCAGCCAGUCAGGACUCCAUAGUGGGACUCCUACACACACACACACACACACACACACACACACCACACCACACAUACACCAUACACAAUACACACACAACACACACACCAUACACAACACACACACACAACACAUACAUACCAUACACCACACGCACAUACCACACACCACACACACAACACACCACACCACACAUAUCACACAUCACACAUACCACACAACACACACACAACACACCACACCACACAUACACACACACAUACCACACCACACAUACACACACACAUACCACACACACACAACACACACAUACACACAAACCAUGCACACACACAUACACACACAUAAACCAUGCACACACCACACACACACACACACACACACACACACACACACACACACACACACACAAGACAAAUAAUGUAUGAAAGGGCAGCGGUGACUUGCACACCUUCCUUACCAGAGCAGAUUUUGGGAGAGGCUCCUGACCUGCUGACAUUGGCUCAGAGCCCUUUUAGAUAUCAUACUCAGUGUUUUCCAACCUCACUGUUUUAAUGUUAACUUUUCCUUUUGCCUUAACAUCCAUUUCUACUGCAACACAUUGGCACAUCUCUUUCUGCUUCAGCUGCACAUAGACCAUUUCCAUUGCUGGUGUUCUGAGGCUUCAGUCCGGUGUAUCUUUGUGUAGGUUUAUUUAACAUGUCUUCUCUGCCUGAGGCUCACUGAUCUUAAUUACACGAAUCUCUAUUUCAUUAAUGAAAAAAAAUCUGACAACCAUUACCUCCUAAAAGUAUACUUCCCCAUUAUCUCAUUAAAUACUGUCUCGGAGCCAACUAUGGUGGUGCACGCCUGUGAUUCUAGCACUCACUAUGCUGAGGCAGGAGAAGCUCAGUGUCGAGGCCAGCCUGGAUUACAUAGUGAACCUCUUGACUCAAAAAAAAAAAUGCAAGCAGAAAAAGAUGGUCUUUGCUCCACUCCUUCUUUUCUUCCAGCACUCCCAUUGGUGCUUAUGAGGCAAGCACUUCACUGACUGAGCUAGCUUCCCAAACCAUAGGCAUUUAGUAAUUUUUUAAAGAUAUGAUCCCUUGAUUUUCUUGGGCUUCAGUUCACACGCUGGUGAACUUGUAGGCUUUUGCCACUUCUGCAGUCUGCAGGUCACUUGGUGCCUGGGGAAGAGCUACUCAGAGAACAGCUGUUGGGUCCUUGCCUGGAAGGGUCACGUUCCUGUUCAGGUCCAGCUCAGUUUCUCCACCUCUCACAAUUACAGUAAAUAUCUCAGUUUUUAAGUUGCUUUGUGAGAGCAGGGAAAUUUUCCUUCAAAGGUCUGCCCUCUUGACCACCCCAGGCCUGUCUCCACUGAUGAAAACCUGGGUUUGGAGAUGCGGGGGGGAGGGAGGCUAGACCAUGUCCAAGUCUGGUUGUCCACACAGAAUUCCAACCUUGAUCGCUGUGACAAACUUCCCAACAAAAGCAAAAAAGCAAAUAAAAAGGAGGGGGGUUUACUUAACACAGACUCUCAGAUUACAGUCCACCAUGGCAAGGCAGUGCAGGCAGCAAGAACUUGAAGCAUCUGGCCAUAUCGACUCCACAGUGUGGAAGAAGAGAGGAAUGAACCCACUCAGAUCAGUAUCCCAUGCACAUACCCCUGGCCUCACCCACAGUUAAGAAGACAAUCCCCCACAGGUAUGCCUGAGGCCCCUCUCCUGGGCAGUUCUAGAGUCUGUCGACAAGACUAACCAUCACAACUAGAAAUACAUAUUUGUUGUUCAAAGACAUGUUUCUUAGGUCUAUGUAAAAGCAAAAAUGUGAAGCCAUAGAUUCCCUGGAGUCUCCCCAGUCCCAGGUCUCUGACCUAGAUGACCCCCACCCCCACCAUCCACCAAUUUCCUGUCACUCUCCCAUUCUUCUUUGCCCAGCUCUCUCACACCUGAUCCCCCCUCGUUCCCUUCCCUGUGCCUUCUCUCACCCAGUUCCCUCCCUCCACCCACCUCUGGUGACUAUAUCCCCUCGUGAGUGAGACUCAAGCAUCCUUCCUUGAGCCCUCGUUGUUAGUGUCUUUGGGUCUGUGGAUUGUAGCAUGGGUAUGUAUCCUGUACUUUAGGGCUAAUGUCCACUUGUAAGUGAGCACCAUGCAUGUCCUCUGGGGUCUGGGUUACCUCACUCAGGACGAUACUUCCCAGUUCCAUCCAUUUGCCUGGAAAUGUCAUGAUGUCCUCAUUUUACAUAGCUGGGUAAUAUUUCAUUGUGUAAAUGAACCACAUUUUCUUUAUCUUGUCUUCAGUUGAGGGACAUCUGGGUUCCUUCCAGCUUCUGGCUAUUAUGAAUAAAGCUGCUAUGAACAUAG